UACCGUCUAAGCUAGGCUAAAUACUAGAGCUUUGGCUAAAGUCAUGGAGCAGCGUUACCCGAGAAAAGCGGGUACGAUAGCAGUAAGUAACACGCUACGUGUGGACAUCCAUUGCCAUAGAAUCUAGUCACAGUGACUCUAGAUUGUAACCGUGCACUUUGUCACUCAACUUCUGAAUGGAAAAAGUGUCCUGGUCAACCUCACAGACUGCACCGUCCAACCAGAGUCUCAUCCCUACCCCAGGAAACUAAACUUGUGCCGUCAAAUCAACUUCUGAAUGCAAAAAGGGUCCUGGUCAUCCUCACUGACAGCACCGUCCCACCGCAAGAGUUUCCUAGUGAACCUCACCGACCUGCCAGGCAUAAAACGGUGAAUGUUUCUGACUGAACAAGCAAUUACAAUGUUAAAAAGCUUAUGUGUGAUGAUCUAGUUAAAUCAGAUGUGUAGGCUGAGGGGAUGUGGAGGUGUUACUUGUAUGUUUAGAGGUAGCAGUUUAAAAAAAAAAUGUAUAUGGAACAUAGACUGUUUGAAUUGUUUUCAGAGGAAUGUGUGUCUAGACCUUUAUUGUUCAAGGUCUAGACUUUUUCUUAGACCGCUUGUUUUUUUCAAAUAAAUUAAA